rnacentral:pre_miRNA from 1 species
UAAAGAUUGACAAGCUGGCGUAGCAAAAGUUAUGUCAAUUGUCGAGUGGCUGCC